AUGGCGUAUCGAUGCGGAUCUCUCUCGAGGUCCAUUUUCUCCGCCGCAAGAACAAUUCCAACUCGUUCCUCUCUUCAAAACUCUUCCGCAUCUUCAAUCCGUUCUCAUCUUCUCCACCCUCGUCGCCCCCCUGUCACUGUCCUUAGGAGUUUGGGAAUUCUCGGUUGCACGCAGUCGUUGAUGCCGCUGUAUAACGCAGACGCCGCAGCUCGUCUCACUUCUCACAUUUCUGUUGAUUUUCGCGCUUGCUGUGAAUUGUCUCAGGGUACUUGA